rnacentral:lncRNA from 1 species
GGACUUAACAAGGUAUCGCUCGAUUUUAAGUUGUAAUGAAUUCCUCUUUGAAUUACUAGACCGGUGCCUGCACACUGCGAGCAUAUCUUCCUCGUACUCUGCAAGGACAGGGUAGCCUCAUGACAUGAAUUGCCCACAAGUUCCCAGCUCCAGAUCGUCUUCUGUAGUCGCAUGCCGUUACGAAUUUUGCAAUAAGACUUCUCUCCUCCAGCCUUUAAAAUAUCCGAAGUAGGCGUAAAUCUUUCCUGGGUCCAUGGUGUGCGCAAACACAAACCCAGAAAAUCGCAUUGCCAAAAUCAAGACCCACUACCACCUCAGGUCCCGAAGCAUUCGUUGAACCCUAAGCCAUCCCUCACAACCUCGGUACCUUCAACUCCUCCCACUGAACAUUUAUUCAAGUGAGCACCACUCACACUGAAAAUAGACGUCACUCGUCGCAGCUUUUAAAGAAAAGAAAUGAAUGUAACGUCAUUCACCUUGUUCGCUUCAAAUCAGGAAGAGAAAUGCUGUGUAAUGACGGAUCUCCCACAUUAGCCACUGCCUGGGCACAGAUAAAGCAUAAAGCUUCAUUACUUAAUUAAGAUCGCUCCCACUAACUGGCCACACCAGCACACCACUGACCACACCCACAACUGAGCACAUUCAAUAAACCCAGUCAUGGAUCCAACUACAGAAGCUAAAAUAAAAAAAUCCAAUCCUAUGGAACAUCAAUGACAACAGAAGCGGCCAUUACACCCCUCGCGUUUCAAAAAAUGAGCGGGUCCACCACCCAGCAUCUCACUAAACCCAUCAUCUACUUGCAAAACACCACCAUUCUACUAUCGAAUUAAAACAAAUAACACACGCGAAAGCUGUUAAACAAUCGAACCCAUAAAAUCAGCGAGAUGCUCCAUGAUUUCAUCGGUUUUCUGCCCCAGAUUGUGACCAACGAAGGGGGCUUCUACCGAUCUCAUCGUCCACUCAC